UAGUAAAAAAGUACAGAAGUUUUGUUUUAGAAAUCAUGCAAUGAUACGAAGGCUUAGCGACAAAAAACAAAAAUAUCCCUAAAUUAGAUGUGAUCAAUGCGAACCAACCCAAAGUCCAGCACCAGCCGUGCAUUUCAAGUGCAGGUUUGACACAAGGCCACCAACCAGUUCACAGGUGUGCCCUCGCCUGGCAAGGUGUCGACCCCCGGACGGCAAAAAGAAAUCUGACGGCAGAGAAUCACCGCAGCUGGCAGAGCGGCCGCACGACAAAUCUGAACCCGGCGACAACCGUGACCUUCGCCCUACACUACAACCUCAAGCGGCCAUCCGCACAUGUCGCUCUCCACCACAGCCGGACCGGGACCGGACGAGCCGGCCAUUGUCGUCCAAUCAAGGCGCGCACACGAGCGGCUUGCCGAGCCCGGGGCCUUUCCCAACUUCCUCUUCACGUGAACUCAUUCAGCCGAUGGUCCAGUGCAAAGUCAAGGCCGCCAUCACCACGUAUCAGCGUCAGGAAAAGGAGAAAUGCGUAUCGUCCUGUGACUCGGCGAGUUGCUCAACAAACGGGACGAAGUUAGCGUCCUCUCCCUUCCUGAUAUUCGGAACACCUAGACGGCGUUACCUGCGGCAGGGACGAACAGCUGUUUAGUCAAAUAUCAGUGGAAUUGCGUGUACCGUAGGCCAAUCUACGACGGAAAGCAGCGAUGGUCAUGCUCUGUAGGUCGCAAAAUGAAGCGGGGAAUUCAAAUAGGAAGAAAAUCUGAAGAAAACUAGAGCGGGGGGUGGUUGCUGUGAGGAGAAUAGGGAUAACAACUUGUCUACAAGUAUCAAAAUGUACUAAAAUGCUACUGCAGUUAGGUGAUAUUCUAGAUUAGUUUGUUGGUUGUUUACACCAGAGUUCACAAAGAUAUAUCAAAAGGAACACGUAAAGAUAGUAGCAAGCUGGUGAAUUUAUUUGCUACCAUCACAUGCAAAGAACCAGUAGACAGCUAUCAGACUUACUUUUAAAGUCAUCCACGAUAGCAACAUUCCAGAAACCACACGGAGCCACUUUUCACAACAUCGUUGAAUUCACGAAAUUUAGUAUGUGUAAGGUUACACGCAUUAUUGAAGCCCAGACCUUAUAUAAAGAGCUGAUGGUGGAAGGAGCAUCACUUACUGUUGGUAGCAUUGCCAUCUUCCAAGGAACCUGAGCAUUCAUCUUGAGCCCAGGCUGCAAGAAUGGCUUGUGCUGUAGAUCCCAGCAGCAACAAGAACAGCUUGCUGAUGCUUCCUGAGAGAGUGAAGAAGAUCACCAGGAUUCCUGCUUCUUGGUGGGCGUACGCAUGGAGUAUUGGAAGAGAAGAUCAAAGGAGAGCCAUUCAUGCUCUCAAGGUUGGGACAGCUCUCACACUGGUCUCGCUCUUGUAUAUACUAGAACCCUUGUUCAAAGGAGUGGGAAAGAAUGCAAUGUGGGCUGUCAUGACGGUUGUUGUUGUGCUCGAAUUUACCGCAGGUAAUCUACUAGCAUCAUACUGAUUAUAAUAUGUGCCAUUUGUGGAUGUACUUCUUCGGUUUCUGACAAGUGAGUACUGAUCAACAGGUGCAACCAUAUGCAAAGGUCUGAAUAGAGGGUUCGGAACAGUCAUAGCAGCAUCUCUAGCAUUUAUCAUUGAACUUGUAGCAGUAAGAUCUGGAAAAGUUUUCCGUGGUUUUUUCGUGGCAUCUUCAGUAUUUCUGAUAGGUAUGCACCGUGUAAAGUUGGAAUUCAGGAUGGCCUAAUUGAUAGUAUCUUAUGCCGUAGCAUUUUCAAUGACAGGAUUCGUGGCAACGUAUUUGAGAUUCUUCCCAACCAUUAAGAAGAACUAUGAUUAUGGAGUGGUGAUUUUUUUGCUAACCUUCAAUCUGAUAACGGUCUCAAGCUUCCGCCAAGAGAACAUACUGCCUUUAGCACGAGAUCGCUUGAGUACAAUUGCCAUAGGGUGUGCCAUAUGCCUCUUUAUGAGCCUCUUCGUAUUACCAAACUGGUCGGGAGAGGACCUCCACAGCUGCA
rnacentral:lncRNA from 1 species